GAUUUAUCAGAGAUAAGGAUAAUGUGUCUGUCUGCCUGCUCACCCUACAGCUUUGGGAGACAAGCAGGGUGAGUAUGAGAGUGCAGUGGUCUGGGCCAAAACCGAUGAGACUCCCACAAAUAUUGUGAGAUUUAAUGCCACGAACUUCUAUAAACUUCACAGAAUGAAGAGGGUCUUUGCACAGACGUUUAGUCUGCAGUGACAGCCACACUGAAUCAGUCCAGAAGAUGAGGGAGUGCCAGCUGAUAUCAUGGAUUAGUGAUUCCCACUAAUCAUUUUAGAACUUGCGGUUCUAGUCUUCCAAUAUAGAAGAAGGCUGAAACUCCAGAUCUGUCAUCUAAGGAGAACUUCUCCCAGGUGUUUGGGAGUGACUUGACUUACUGAAAAGAAGUCUCAAGUUUCUGUGCUUAUAAAGAGGCUAUGGACAGCAAGAGGAGACUGAGCCUUCACGGUAGACCGGGAUUGAGCCUCUGUGUAUUUUUUUAGCACUACUUAUGCCCACAAAUAUAUAUUAAAAACACAUAUUUAGGUCAAAUAUUAUAUUGAUGCCACUUUUCUCUAAAAUAUGGUUGUUACAGCUCAAUCUCUUUCUUACCCAACUUUUACUCCUAUUCUAGGGUUAGGAUUUUUCCCUCAAACCUUUUCAAGUGUGAAUAAAAAUCAGUUUUUGGUCUGAUUAAUUGCAACACAUUUUGUGGAGGGGUUUCAGGUAGAAACAUAUAACAAUGCUUUUUAUGUUAUCUCCAUAUUACAUAAGAAGGAUCUGUACAUACACGUAAUCAAAGUCUCCUUGAUUUGUUUUUCUAAUAUGGAGGUCAGAAGUGGGGACUAUGGAGGCUGCACUUUCCUAAGAAAUUUUCUUUCCUGUUCUCCUUUUGUGUAUUUUGGUCUUAAGUUGUCACUGACUUGCACUACUGAAGUGCAACAGGCAAUUUCCCUGUGCACACACCCAUAAGGCUGUGAAGAAUAUGGUCUGUAGAAAUAAUGCUCCGUGCUACAGAAGUUUAUUUUUGCUUGGAUUUUAAACCUCUGAAGAUACAGAUUUAUAAAAGUUUUGAAUGCCUACAUGCUGUUGAGCACUUAAGACAUUUUAGUAGCCUGGUUUUAAAGUAUGAAACAGCUGUUUCAGCUGGUUUCCACAUGUGAUUUUAGGUACUGCGGUAGGAUGUGAUGUCUUUAUAUAGUUCAGAAACAGACAUCCAACUCAAAAGAUCUCCUAGGAAAAUAAUUCCUCAUCUGGAAAGUAGGCUCUUAGGUGAGGGAGCAACUUUCAAAUUUUCUGACCUCUACAUUUUAAGGGAAACAUAAUAACUUAACUUUGAAGGACUGAACUUUUUGGGUCACAUCCUGUUCUAAGCUGUGAUAUACCACUGUUUGUUUUUUUUUUAAAGAAAGAAUUGAUACUUUGCUUAAAGUGACAGCUCUUGGUUUUCUUUUAAUGUGUUUGAGCAAGAAGCUAUGUGCAAAACAGAGAGAAGAUAAUCAACCUACUUUUUUUUCACCCUGAUCACAGAAUCAUAGCUUGGUUUAGAACGAACGUUAAAGC